AACGCACAUUGCGCCCGCCGGCAUUCCGGCGGGCAUGCCUGUCCGAGCGUCAUUUCAACCCUCAGGCCCAGCCUGGCGUUGGAGCACCACCGCCCCCGGGUCCUCCCGGGCGUGGGCUCUCAAAUGCAGCGGCGGGCGCGGUCCCGGACCCGAGCGCAGUAGACAUGCUCGCUUAGGGGUUCUCCGGGCGCGCCCCGGCCGUGAAAGCAACCAUCUCCUCGUGGUUGACCUCGGAUCAGGUAGGAAUACCCGCUGAACUUAA
rnacentral:misc_RNA from 1 species